GAAGAUUAGCCCUGGGCUAACAUCUGCCACCAAUCCUCCUCUUUUUACUGAGGAAGACUGGCCUUGAGCUAACAUCCGUGUCCAUCUUCCUCUGCUUUAUCUGUGGGACGCCUGCCACAGCAUGGCUUGACAAGGGGUGCAUAGGCCUGCACCUGGGAUCUGAACCGGCCAACCUCAGCCGCUGAAGCGGAAGCUAGGUGGAGGCCUGGCCCACCCCUCUGCACCUUGAGACUUUCACAUGAAAGGUGCUGAUUCCAUUCUACAUCGACAGCAAAUAAUCUUAUUUUGAAAAAGGAAAGAGACGGAAGGCUGAACAAAAUAAUUUACCAUCGAGUUCUGCUCGUUUCAUUUGCCUGGCAAAACCUGGAGAAGGCCGAAAGGGCGUCUGGGAAACGCAGCGGCGGAGCCAGAGGCCCCUGGCGUAGGGGUGAACUCGCCGUCGGAGGAGAUGUGUGCUACUGUGUGUGCGAGGAGAAUACAUUUCCUAAUCUCCAGUUUUCGGCAAUGCUGGUCCAGCUGGGUAGUUCUCAGUUCUGCCUCGUUCCAAAGAAAUGCUGGGCCAUCUGUCCCUUGCCUCUAACGUCUUUAACUCAAACCCAGGUCCCAGGUCUUUUUCCCCAAAAUAACUCUCAAGAUGACGCUGCUUUAGUGGUUGUACGAACCCGGCAGCGCCAGAGGUCUGCUUGGUCUGGAUUGGGCUCGCUUCCCCGGAAGGCUUGCGGGGUUCCAGAGUCUGGGCUGCAAUCAGGAAAAUGGGGUUUCCGAAACCUCUGUGGGCUGGAUUCUCCAAGUGUGGCGGGCGGUGCGCGCAUUCGAGGAAUACGACUGCAUUGGGCGCGCGCUGGUUACACCAAUGCCGGGGGUUACUGAUCUACGUUAAAAACAAAAAGAAAAACCAAAAAAAAAAAAAAAAAAAAAAAAUCCACCGUGUGAAUCUCAGCUUAAACUCCUCUCCCCUAUCCCCCAAAUCCCAAAAGCCGAGUUAGAAUCUACCCUCAUCUCUCGGCUGCUGCUCUUGAGUGAGAGUCCAGAGUGCACGGAGCAGCUCCCAACCGUCCACUGCCUUGUUCUAGAACAAAGUGGCUCCCAAACGCGUGAGGGUUCAUGGAGUGCGGCCCUCGAGAGCGAGCGAAUACCUUCACAAACACUUAGCACCAUUAAGAAAAUAGCUACCAAGCCGGGUCCCUAAGAGCCCCAGACGCGCCUUCCGAUUUGGAGCUGGCACUGUUUAGAGGGCUGCACACGCCAGAGGACUCAUUUGUUAAAGUACUUAAUUGGUCCUCCUUUUGUUCUGGAAACAAGAGGGCUUAUCUCCUGGCGGUUGCUGAAAUGGAACCCAACCAAACCUUCUCUUCCACGGAGUCCCUUGGGG
rnacentral:lncRNA from 1 species